GGGUAGCGGGGCCGUGUGCCGCCAGGAGCGAGGCGGCGUGCCGGCGCAGGCGCAGAAGCGCGUGGGGUGGUCGCGCGGGAACCGCUGGGGGGGCGCUGUGAGGGAGGGGGCGGUCCUUCCGGCCCCUCACUUCCGGCCCUAGCGCCGCCGCGGUCGGUGUGGCAGCGCCGCUCGGGCCCGCUCCGCUCCGCGCCCGCCCUGCGGCCCGCAUGCAGCGCCGAGACGACCCCUCCGCCCGCAUGGGCCGGGGGCCGGGGGGCCCUGGAGGCGCCCGCCAAGGGGCUUCCAAUCCGCGGCGGUCUCCCCGAGGCGGGGGGGGACGUGGAGCCGGGGCCCAGCAGCCACCGCCGCUGCUGACCGGUGGGGCGGCCGCCGGCUCCUCGGGCGCGCAGGGCUCCGCCGCCGCCACCCCCGCCCCGCUGCUGCCUGGGGGCGCCGUCAAGAUGGAGCCCGAGAACAAGUACUUGCCCGAGCUGAUGGCCGAGAAGGACAGCCUGGACCCGUCCUUCACGCACGCCAUGCAGCUGCUCAGCGCAGAAAUUGAAAAAAUUCAGAAGGGUGAAACAACAAAGAAGGAUGAGGAAGAGAACUACCUGGAUUUAUUUUCUCACAAGAAUAUGAAACUGAAAGAACGAGUUCUGAUACCUGUCAAACAGUACCCCAAGUUCAACUUUGUUGGAAAGAUUUUGGGACCUCAAGGCAACACCAUCAAGAGGCUUCAGGAAGAAACUGGUGCUAAGAUCUCUGUGCUUGGGAAGGGUUCAAUGCGAGAUAAAGCAAAGGAGGAAGAGCUGCGUAAAGGGGGAGAUCCUAAAUAUGCUCAUCUAAAUAUGGAUUUGCAUGUCUUCAUUGAAGUUUUUGGACCCCCUUGUGAAGCAUAUGCUCUGAUGGCUCAUGCCAUGGAAGAAGUCAAGAAGUUCCUUGUCCCAGAUAUGAUGGAUGAUAUCUGUCAGGAGCAGUUCUUGGAGCUCUCCUAUCUGAACGGUGUACCAGAGCCAACUCGUGGCCGAGGAGGCCCUGUGCGGGGAAGGGGAGCAGCUCCACCACCGCCUCCACCUGUUCCAAGGUACCUUUCCCAAAAGCAUGGACCUGGAAAUGCUGCAUCUUGCUCAGAGUGGUGCUGCGAGAUCAGGGGGCGCGGUGUUGGCCCUCCCCCUCCGCCGCCUCCUCCCCGGGGGGCUCUGGUGCGAGGAGCCCCGGUGCGGGGGGCCAUUGCCAGGGGAGCUGCUGUAGCCCGCGGAGUGCCUCCCCCCCCAGCAGUCCGGGGUGCUCCUGCACCCAGAGCACGUGCGGCCGGCAUCCAGCGGAUACCGCUUCCUCCUCCUCCCGCGCCGGAAACCUACGAGGAAUACGGCUAUGAUGACGCAUAUGCAGACCAGAGCUAUGAGGGCUAUGAAGGCUACUACAGCCAGGGCCAAGGGGACACAGAAUACUAUGAUUAUGGACACGGGGAGGCACAGGAAACCUAUGAAGCUUAUGGCCAAGAUGACUGGAACGGUACCAGGCCCUCCCUGAAGGCCCCGCCAGCCCGGCCGGUGAAGGGCGCCUACAGAGAGCACCCAUACGGACGUUACUAAAAACAAAAUGAGGGAAAAAUAGCAGUUAUGAGCAAACAGUUGUUACUGAUUCUUGUAUCUCCCAGGAUUCCUGUUGCUUUGCCCACACCAGACAAGAGCGCAGAGCACGGAGCGGGGAAUCGCUGGGGAAGGCGAGGAGGGGCAGCGCGCAGCGGGUGAGUCUGUCCGGUUAUUUCUGCACCUUACGGCGAGCUGCUAACGCGUUCUGUGUGGGCAGAGAGGGCGGCACCAUCUGAGCUGUUACACUGGAGCCGUUCUUAACGUCCCCAGAAAUAAAUCAGUGCUGCGGAAGGCCAGCUCCGCCAGCGACGCUCCUGCAGAGGUUAUGGCACGGGGGGAGGCUUCGCUAGGCACGUGCUUGCAGCUCUCCCACCGAGAUCCCGUGGAGCAGGAGGUCCAGUGGGUUUGGGGAGAGGGGACUGGGGCAAGGAGAUCUGUUUCUUGGGGCCGGUUCCUGGUUGAGAUGCUGGCUUUCAUGAGAGCGCUCGCGGCUGCAAGGUAGCACUCAAGGUGUUCUUACCCUGUGCUCUAGAAACAGAGCAGCCCAAGGAGGAAUCCGUAGUGAUAGCAUAGAAUCCUGGAAUGGUUGGGUUGGAAGGGACCUUGCAGCCCAUGCAGUCCCAACCCCUUCCAUGGGCUGGCUGCCCCCCAGCUCCGGCCGCCCAUGGCCUCGAGCGCCUCCAGGGAUGGGGAACCACAGCUCUGGGAGCUGCCAGUGCCUGACCGCCUCUGGGCCCAGAAUUUCCUCCUCACGUCCCACCUAAAUCUCCCCUCCUGAAGCCUUUCCCCCUCGUCCUAUUGAUUUACAGACCAUGUUAAAAGUCGCUCUCCCUCCAGUUCAUUAGCUGCCCCCAGUUACCUGCAGGACCUCGAUUCCAACAGGACUCUGCGGUGCAUUAAGGUCAGCAGCUGCAGAUAGCCCAGACAGACCUCGCUCCUUCCACGCCGCCCUGCUGGGCCCCGAGGGGACCCUGGCUGUCCUCGGUUCGGCUUUUUGUCCCCUGCGCUGUCACACUGCUCAGCCGGUGUUCCCGGGUUGGGACAAGCCCAGCCGGGAGCCCUGGCGGUGGGGAGCCCCGGCCCCUGUGGGUCACCUUUGGGCGGUGGUGGGGCUCCCUCUGGUGGCUGCUGUGCCCGCAGUGAUUUGUUCCGUAAACGCCUCGGUCAAUGCAGCACGUGCUUGCAGACCGUGCCGUGCUGUGGCUGGGGAUGCAGAUGCUCCAGCAUCACGCGGUGACCUGCUCGCGCAGCAAGGACGCGUCUCCCCGCCGGCCCCGAAGGCAGCAGCCCUGAGCGUGUCCUCUGGGGACAGCUAAUUGGUUUCUCUCGUAUCUUGAGAUCGCAUGAAGCCCGAGCUCCAGAAAUCAAAGAACAAAGAAAUAAACCUUUGUGCUGCUGGAGAGGUAUAAUGGCUUCAAAAGGCCGCUGUGCAAAGCCCCAGGAGCGGGACGUAGAGGACGUGAGACUUAUUUUAUAUGGAAAUGCAAAGCUACCCAACGAGCCUCUCUUAAGAGCAUUAGGAACAAGAAAAUGGUUAUAUGUGGAAAUGGUGCAGCAGAAUGAGAUUACCCUCAAUUCUUUGCCUUUAACUUGAAAAUUGGAGCCGUAAUUUUGUUAGGGAAAGACAUCGCAUCUGGAAUUCGGUGGCCUGCUCGUGUAAUGCAUCUCCAUUUACAACGCAACUGAAACAUCGGUUUCUGUGGUGUUGUUCCAGUCUUUCCCAUUUCUUUCUUAAUAGGCACAACUUUUAUACCAAGUGGAAAAGAUUUGAUAGAGAUCAUCUAUUACGAUGCAGUUUUUUACCAGAAGAAGCAGAUCUUGUGGUGCUGCCUGUGGAGUUGUACGGCUUGCUUGUGCAUCACAUUUAUUGCGUGUUUAUGUGAAAAUGUUGAAUGUUAUGGGGCAAUGUAGAUCUUAAUAUAUUGAAAAUAACUGUAUAUGCUAAAAAUUUUUCAAAAACAUGUUCCGCAUCAGACAUCUUCCUCCCUCUCAAAGCAUCACUACGUGCAGAUUUUAGCCCAGAGUCUGCAGAAGCUAAUUGGAGAGCCCAAAAUAGCUGCCAGCAUCGGAUGUGUCUCUGAGAUGUUCUAAUGAGCCAGCCGCUCCGGGGGUGAUGCAGGAUUCUCAGAAAUAUGUGGGGGUGGAGGCUGCUCGGAGUGCUGGAGACUGAGUCACCCGGUGACCUUCCCUCUUGUGCUGGCACUCAGCCAUUGGAGGUGGUACUUAUUCUGCUGGCUGUUGGCAAACAAGUGCAGGUGAUGUUUCACCUCCAGACUUGCCUACAGAACUAUCUCGUUAUUUGUAGGAUGGUGGUAAAGCCCAUACACAGGAUGAAAGCCCCCACAUACGUGGCACUGCGCAGCGUGAUAUACAGCGGUAGUCACGUCCCCUCUGUGGAAGUGUUGCCCAGCAGUGCUGCUCUCAGGCUUGGCUUUAGGAACACCCUCUGCUGCAGAGCACUCCCUGCUCAGCAGUCCAUCUUCUAUGGCUCCUGCCCUGGGGGGCUGGCUGCUUGGAGCCGGCACACUGCCGGACUUUGUCCUCCUUCAGGGCAUGUCACCACGUGUAUGCUGCCCAGUAUGUCGGGCAGGACCUGAGCUCCAGCUGGGAUUGCAGAAAUGUCCCAAGCAGUUUUUCCUGGAAGGAGAUUGUUGCACUGUUUGUAUUCCUUACCCCUGGUUUCAAGUUACUGUUUAGAUGAUCGGAUAAAGCAAAUGACUGCGAGCUUUGUUUUUUAACUUAUUGAUGAUGAUUUUAACUUAAUGUGGCCCUCUGUAAAACUCUGUAUUUGGCCAGCUGGAUCCGGCUGAGGUUUAGGAGCACAGCUGGAUUCCCUGCUCGGCUCUUAGAGCAGAUGAUUCUUUUUGUACGGAAUGAGUUUUCAAAUUUAUAUGAGAGCAUCUGUCCUGGACAGAGCCAAGAGAAACAAUUGAGAUGUGCAUCUCUUCCUCCCUUGUCCCACACCAGGUGGGCAGCCGGCACAGCCCCCCGGAGCAGCCCUGGAGGGAGGGCAGCAGCUGUGCCCGUCUGCUGGGAGCUGUGCAGAGCAGGAGGUGCCACUAGCACAGCCCUUCCACGGCUGCGAGUACAGAUGGUGCUUUUGGGGAGUGAGGCACAGCUGAGGGAAACCCUGCCUUAAUUGAGAAACCUUCAGCAUCUCGGAUGAGAUGUUGGACACAAGCCCCGCUGGUAAGCUUUGAGGGGGAGGAAUUUCUGCAGCCAGUCAGGACCUGCUGGGAGCUGCCAUCUCCAAUGUAGAUAUUAUUCCUCUUCUCUACUCAGGAAGCUCAGUUCCCGAGAGCACAGAGCAGAACCCUUCGCUGUCGCUGCUCAGCUGAGCCUUGCAUUGCUGCCAUAUGUUCCAAUAGAAAUGUUUGUUUCCACGCUCACUUUGCUCCUUUUGCGACGCGGGAUGGAGCUUGGAUGCGUUGCUUUCAGAGCUGAUGAAGGAACACGGUCCAGGAGCCCUUUGCUUUACUGCCAGUGGGAAGUAACCAAGUGCCAGCUUUGCUGAACACCGGAGCUCCCUCAGCUGCCUCCAAAGCUGGAGAGAGGCAGCCCCGAAGCACAGCCUGCCCCGUGGAGCGGUUACUGCUGGUUCUGGAAGCAAGCACAAGCAACGGCGUGCCUGCAGUGUUACACCCAGACCUGCUCCUUAGCGCGCCGGUGCUGCUGCUGGGCUGGAGGAUGUGGUUCUGCCGCAGGUGCCGGGAUGCUGCUGCGCUUUGGUGGCUCUGCACAGGUUCCAAAACCGAUAAGGAACAGAUCGCUCCUGCGAAAGGUCGUUAAUUUUAGAAGUGGCUUUGCCUGCAGCCUGGGCAGGGGUAGCAGGCAGGAUUGCUCCAUCUGACCCACAGCAUCAGCCACCCACAAGUUGGGGAAUUCAGCGCAAAGCGCUGCACGUGGCUGGUAGUGGUGGUGAACGUCAAUCAAGCUGAAUCGUGGAGUUAAAGUAACUUGUAUAGGAAGCUGGCACGCUCCGCCACAGCUGGCGUUUAGCAGAUGUUGGAAAUGAUUUGUCAUUCCUUAAUAAAGAUAGAACGUGGAUCUUUUGGCUUCCAAA